rnacentral:rRNA from 1 species
AGCGAACGCUGGCGGCAGGCCUAACACAUGCAAGUCGAACGAACCUUUCGGGGUUAGUGGCGGACGGGUGAGUAACACGUGGGAACGUGCCUUUAGGUUCGGAAUAACUCAGGGAAACUUGGGCUAAUACCGAAUGUGCCCUUCGGGGGAAAGAUUUAUCGCCUUUAGAGCGGCCCGCGUCUGAUUAGCUAGUUGGGUGAGGUAAUGGCUCACCAAGGCGACGAUCAGUAGCUGGUCUGAGAGGAUGAUCAGCCACAUUGGGACUGAGACACGGCCCAAACUCCUACGGGAGGCAGCUGUGGGGAAUCUUGCGCAAUGGGCUAAAGCCUGACGCAGCCAUGCCGCGUGAAUGAUGAAGGUCUUAGGAUUGUAAAAUUCUUUCACCGGGGACGAUAAUGACGGUACCCGGAGAAGAAGCCCCGGCUAACUUCGUG